rnacentral:rRNA from 1 species
AUUGAACGCUGGCGGCAGGCCUAACACAUGCAAGUCGAACGAGUGGCGGACGGGUGAGUAAUGUCUGGAAAACUGCCUGUUGGAGGGGGAUAACUACUGGAAACGGUAGCUAAUACCGCAUACCAUCAGAUGUGCCCAGAUGGGAUUUGCUUGUGGGGGGGGAAACGGCUCACAAAGGCGACGAUCCCUAGCGGGUCUGAGAGGAUGACCGCCAAAACUGGAAUGGAGACACGGCCCAGAUCCCUACGGGAGGCAGCAGUGGGGAAUAUUGGACAAUGGGCGCAAGCCUGAUGCAGCCAUGCCGCGUGUAUGAAGAAGGCCUCCGGGUUGUAAAGUACUUUCAUCGGGGAGGCGUUACCUGCAGAAGAAGCACCGGCUAACUCCGUGCCAGCAGCCGCGGUAAUAC